GCUAGGCCCUUUUGCACUUCUAUGCUGCUGCCAUGGAGAACAUAGCAUUUGUUUCUUCUGGGGGAUGCAGAGGCAGGCAUCAUCUUGGAAGCAGACACAAGGCCCUUGCCAGACAGCAACCCUGUUGGUACCCUGACUUUGGACUUCUGGCUUCCAGAACUGACAGAAGUUGCUGGAUUUUGAAUCACAUGAAUUUGCAGCCAUGGUCACAACUAGAGACUGGAGACUGGCCUCGAGGGAGACCUGUUGGCUUCUGCAGUUGCCUGGCCUGAGAGCUAUGUCUUAGAGGAGUGGAGCCAAGGGAAUAAGGACUCAAACAACAAAUAAGUUGUGAUUCCUGUGCUCCUGAGUCUAGGAGAGGUCAUGAAGUAAAUGGAUCAUUGGAAGUGAUCAUUGGAAGUACAGCGAAGUGACACAGAGAAGGUUCAAGCUGCUGUUGGAGCACGUGGGAAGCAUUAGGAAGACUGUGUCAAUCAAAGCAAAAACCCUUUUCCCUUCCUGUGAUCUUUGCCAAAGAGAUGCGGGGUGACUGGAGAAAGGACACUUGACCUUCAUGUGUCAUGGUAAUAACUAAAAAUUGAAAGUGGAGAGAUGGUUCUGAAAUUUCUGAGCCUAAAUUAGUGGGACAUAGGUUUUGAAAUGAGGAACUAUGCAUCUGACUGAUAGCCCUUCAAAAACAACAAAAACUAACAGCAAAUUAGACUCUCCUUUUUGUCAUUUAUUUAAUGAUUUGUUACAGGAUACAAAUUGUUAUGGUGAUAUAAGAUAUAUCUGAGUUGAGAAGAGACUGUAAAAAAUAAUCUAGGAGUUUAAAACAUAUACAAUGUUUUUUCCUUGUUUGAUUUUUUAAAUUCUCAGCAACUGGCUUAACAUGACCUGACUAUUCCAAGGUGGCCAUUCACCCUUUUAGAGCAAAAUAAAAAAUUUUUAACUUAUCACCAGCUAACAAAACAGAAGCAUGGAAGUGGA